rnacentral:misc_RNA from 1 species
GAUGAAGAACGCAGCGAAAUGCGAUACUUGGUGUGAAUUGCAGAAUCCCGUGAACCAUCGAGUUUUUGAACGCAAGUUGCGCCCGAAGCCAUUAGGCCGAGGGCACGCCUGCCUGGGCGUCACACGUCGUUGCCCCCCCAUCUACUCCUUCGGGAUUGCGGGGGGCGGAUGAUGGCCUCCCGUGCGCCUCGUCGCGCGGUUGGCAUAAAUGCCAAGUCCUCGGCGACGCACGCCACGACAAUCGGUGGUUGCGAAACCUCGGUUGCGCGGCGUGUGCGGUCGUCGCGCAUCGAGGGCUCGAAAAAAUUGCCGGGCUCCGGCUCGGCUUUCAACGCGACCCCAGGUCAGGCGGGGUUACCCGCUGAAUUUAAGCAUAUCAAUAAGCGGAGGA